rnacentral:rRNA from 1 species
GUAGCUUAACCUUCGGGAGGGCGCUUACCACUUUGUGAUUCAUGACUGGGGUGAAGUCGUAACAAGGUAACCGUAGGGGAACCUGCGGUUGGAUCACCUCCUUA